rnacentral:lncRNA from 1 species
AGAAAAAUCAGUAAAACUUUCAACAGAGUACAAAAAAAGUAGAAAAUAAUUUCUUUUUAUGCUGAUUCACCAGCAUCAAGAUAUUUGAGAGGAAGCACAAAACAGAAUAACUCAUUUGAAAGGGAACUCAAAGCAGGCCCAACAGCCUGCAAAAGCCUACAAGCAACAUGCAAAAGUAGUAUGUGAAAAGGGCUAAUGGACAGUAGUAUAAUCAACUUUCAUCCUCCUUUUUUGAGUCCUUCAGAAAUUUCAAGAGACAAACGGUUCUUCACAUUUCACCAGUGCAAAGCAGAACAAACAUGCCUACUUGGAAAUGCAACACUGUCUGCAGCAACUAGUAAUUAAGGAUUAACCUCAACUUUCCCUCCUUGAUCAAGAGAUAGAAGCAUCACUCUUACGUGCAGAAGCUGAGAGAGCUGUGACUGUUCAGCCUGAGGAAGAGAAGUCUCAGGAAAUCUUAUCAAUGUCUGUAAAUGCCUGAAGGGGAAGCACAAUGAAGAUGGAGCCAGGCUCUUUUCAGUGGUGCCCAGUGCCAGGACAAGAUGCAAUGGGCACAAACUGGAACACAGGAUGUUACCUCUGAACAACACAAAGAAAUUCUCUGGUGGAGCUCUGGCACAAGUUGCCCAGAAAGGUUGUGAGGUGUCUUCCUUGGAGAUCUUCAAAAGCUGCCUGAUCUGUUGAGAUUAUAUAGUUCUGGUCUUGUUAGCAUAGUUAACAAGAGUAAGUAGGAAAAAAAAACAUUCUGUCCAUUCAGUGAUAUUGAUUUUUUUAAUAGACUCAUUUCAGUAUACUAGUGCAUUUUGUAUAAAUUGCUAAGGAACACAUUUGAAAAAAAACUGAUGAAUGACAUGUGAGAGUAUAUAUAUGGUUAAAAACUAUUACACAGUGUGAAAUGUGUCCUUGCAAUGUUAUUAAGUGAACUGGCUUCAUUACAAACAUAGUAUAAUCAUCAUGGCUGAUGGAGCUUAAAAAAAAGAAUUAAUCACAGUUUGUUUUGGUUCAGCAAAGAUAGCUAUGUCAAAGGUUUCAUAUUUAGCUACAAAGAUUUAGACCGAAGGAGUGCAUAAGG